ACAGGAGACAUGUUUAAAUACUGGGAGAGUGAAUGUUGGAACAAAGGACCUGAGCUGACUAGCUAACGGGUUGCAGGUGUGAAGGGAGAGAGCAGAAGGCAGGUUUAGGAGAGAGAGAAAGAGAGAGAGAGAGAGAGAGACAGACAGACAGACAGAGAGAGAGCGAGAGAGUCAGAGAGAGAGAGAGAGACCCACCCACAGUGGGCUAGGGAAAGAAGCUAACAUUAAAGAAUAACAAAACAUAAGAGAUAUAAUUCAACUAGAGUAACAAAAAAUAACUAGACACACAAAAAAAUAAAAAUAAGGCACUAGAAUCACUGAGAAAGAAUUGAACUAAGGUAAAACAAGGUUGAUCCAAUCAAAAAGAGAGACCAAAGAACACAGAAUAAUAAUGAAACUAGAAUCAGUAACAGAAACAAUAUUAAGUUAAAAUCAUGUAUAAUAACUACCAUAUAGAGGGCAAAGUUAUCAUAGACAGGAAGUGGUGACAUUAAAAUCUGUCUAGCUGGUGUCAGGCAGAGCAAACACCCAACACGUUAAUUUACAGGACACAGAAUCGGAGCCAACUGGAUAAACAACUGUGUUUAUGUCUAGUGGAUGUGCUGCUUUACAACCAGAUGGAGAGACAUUAGAGAUGGCUGAUGGCCAUUUUGGGUCUUUAUGUGUCAACGUUGUGAUUGAAGAAAAUUUAUUACUGUUCAGAGUAUUUAAAUACUUAGUUAUAUUCGUCACAGUGGGUUCUUAAGAUACUUAAAAUAAAUGUUUAUUUACAAAAUAGCUUUUGGUAAGUGAUUUCCGUAUGAAGUUUAUUCAGGAUCUCAUCAGAUUUACUAAACUCUUCAAAAGCUAUGACCCCUGAACAGAAAGCUGUCAGGAUAUUUCAUUAUUCCCAGAUGGCGUUUACAGCUAAUUGGAAAAUUCCCCUGCAUGUUCUGCACUCCUACACCAUAAAUGACCCAUUUCAUUAUGCAGAUCACUUUGUAACCACAUCAACUUCCCAUUCCCACCUGAUGAACGUGCCUACUCAUCCCUUUCGUUGUUCUUCCUGUGUGGCUGCCGUUUUAUACCCUCCUCGAGUUUCCAAGCCUUUUGGGAACAGGAAGCAGCUUUUUGUAUGUGGCUGUGUGUGAUGUUGUGUCGGCCUGUUGUCACUGGCCCAUGUAAAGCUGGGAAUUACCGAAGCCUUGUCAGGGAUUUAUGAGGUUUAAGGUUUACCUUUCCAAGCCGGGAUUUUUUUUAGAGGCCUCUCACUCUGGAGAGCUUUUUGUUGGAGAUUAAAGUGCGCUGUGGUGUUUUUAAAACUGCAGCUUUGUUGAUCCAUAAAGGGCCACAAUGGUAAUGUUCACAAACAAAACGCCCAUACAUAAAUAUGACAUAGAUUGUUACACUCAUUAAUAAGCCAUCAGACCCAACCUGGGGGCGUCAGAAUACUCUAACAUUGGUCUGUCUGCUGUUCUCUACAUAUUUACUGUAACUGGUGCACCACUUCAAACUGGUAAUUUCAAAGAAUAUAAGCAUAUUUCAGCAUAGUAACCAGCCAGGUGCUGCUAAUUCAAUGCUUUUGAAAGCUGGUCAUAAUCAGUGUGGCCACCUCAAAAGAAUGCAGGAGCUAUGGCAGCUUACUGAUACACUGCAUCAGUGUGUGUUCACGCAGUGCAAAUAAGGAAAAACAUUAGCAAUGAUCUUACAGCAGCAUUUGUUGCUGCUCAACAAUCUAGUGAGGAUUGCAAAGCUGUUUUCAAACUAUCAAAAGUCCAGUGGAACAGAAAGAAAGACUAUUCACAGGUGUAAGACUUUCUAGACAGUCCUCCUGAGGGUGACUGUCUCAAUAAAUUCACUCAAAGGUCAGACUGUGCAGUGAUGUCCCAGGUCAUCUCUGAGGCGUGUGUUUUAAAAGUUCAAAAUUGUGACAGUAUGAUUUGUUUAGAAGGAGGAAGCAUCUUCUUUCUAAAAAGAAAAUGGCAGGAUGUGAGGGUUGGUGAUGGGUGUCUGUAUCCUACCUCUCUCUCCUCCUGCCAGGUGAUUACAUCCAGCUGUUCCCCAUUUGGGGUGCACUAUAUAGAGGAGCUGGUUCUGGAGAUGAGAUUCAACCCUUUUCUCGUUGAGCUCAUUCGCCAACUCCCUCACCCUUCAGCUCUAAGAAAAUAAGUAAAACUAACCACUUCCCCAUUCCAUUUACCUUCCUGCUCAGAACGGACCCAGUAGAGCCGAAGGUGCAAUAUGGCAGCCGUGCAUAGCCAUCAGGCUGCCCCAGAGCAGCAGUGGCUACAAUCCAGUAGCUUGAAGUCAUUUUAUUCAUGCCCAAUACAUUUUUAUGAGAGCAGACUUUUAAUACUAAGUGCUUUUUGGUUAAAUGAAGUUGUGAAAAAAACUAUUUGUUCAUUUCUUCCUGACACUUCAACUGUUCAAAAUAGAGCAAAUUGAAUUUGAGUGCCCUGUAAAAAAAAAAAAAGAAAAAAAAAAGU